AUGGCGCUCUCUGGUCGCAUGGCCGCAUCCGCCCUCCUCCUGCUCCUCCUCCUCCUCGCCACAGAGAUGGGGACGCCGACGAGGAAGGUGGCGGAGGCGCGGGACUGCCUGUCCAAGAGCCACAAGUUCAAGGGCGCGUGCCUCAGCAGCAGCAACUGCGCCAGCAUCUGCCGCACCGAGAACUUCCCCGGCGGCGAGUGCAAGCUCGACUCCUUCGCGCGCAAGUGCUUCUGCAAGAGGGUCUGCUAG
rnacentral:rRNA from 1 species